UCCCUGGUGGUCCAGUGGUUAAGACAGUGCACUCCCAGUGCAAAGGCCACAGGUUCCAUCCCUGGUCAGGGAA
rnacentral:tRNA from 1 species